rnacentral:rRNA from 1 species
CCAGACUCCUACGGGAGGCAGCAGUCGGGAAUAUUGCGCAAUGGAGGAAACUCUGACGCAGUGACGCCGCGUAUAGGAAGAAGGUUUUCGGAUUGUAAACUAUUGUCGUUAGGGAAGAUACAAGACAGUACCUAAGGAGGAAGCCCCGGCUAACUAUGUGCCAGCAGCCGCGGUAAUACAUAGGGGGCAAGCGUUAUCCGGAUUUACUGGGUGUAAAGGGAGCGUAGACGGCCAGACAAGUCAGAAGUGAAAGCCCAGGGCUCAACCCUGGGACUGCUUUUGAAACUGCCGGGCUGGAGUGCAGGAGAGGUAAGCGGAAUUCCUAGUGUAGCGGUGAAAUGCGUAGAUAUUAGGAGGAACACCAGUGGCGAAGGCGGCUUACUGGACUGUAACUGACGUUGAGGCUCGAAAGCGUGGGGAGCAAACAGGAUUAGAUACCCCAGUAUC